GGGGCGAUGGCGGAAUUGGCAGACGCAACGGACUUAAAAUCCGUCGGUGGUGACACCUUGUGGGUUCGACCCCCACUCGCCCUACAA
rnacentral:tRNA from 1 species